UUUCCCAUUCAUUCUCAAUGGUAGUGCUAAACCACUACGGAUGCAAUAUACUUUCGGCCGCUAGCGCUCUCGUGGCGCUCUUCCGUGUUUCGGCACCGCGGGAAGUUUGAAUUCGCAGAAGAAGACGACUGUUUAAUUCAACGCAUUCUCAGCGCAUCUGUCAAAGAGACCACUGUUUCUACACUGCUGUCAUCUUCUCCUGGUACCCAUGCAGAUCCUCAGUCAGAUGCAGGAAGUACAUAUACACCACCUCUGCCUCUGCUGGCCUCACCUGAGACCCCCUGGUCCUGUGAAGACUGGUGGCAGGGUGUAUGUACUGGAGCACAAACACAGAGCCAAUUGACAACUUGCUUAAACACUGUGGGAAGAAGCACAUCCUCAGGAGCAUGCAGCAGUGCUCCACAAUUCCUCUACUGAUCCAAACAGCAUGCUCCAUUCGACCACAAAACUGCACAUUUCACAGUAUGUCAAGCACCUGGCCAAACUGCAGAACACCAGUUCUUCAUUAAACAACUCCAGAGAAACGUCUUGAAAGCGGGCAGUAAAACAACCAGUGUGCCAGUGGUUAUAAUGAAGCCUGCGGAUGUAAAACCACCAGCACCUGCUCUGACCACACUCCUAACUCAUGAGACCAUUGAGACAAUUGUGUUAUGGAGCGGCAGCAGCAACCUGAGCAGGAGAAGACUUGUCUUGCUUGUGGACAGCCAAAGAUGGUUCCUCUAUCCACUUUUUCCUUAAUCAGCAAGAUCCUGUCAGGUACUUCUACUGUUCCACAAAGGUUUUUAAUGCUUACAGUGAUUAAGAACUAACACACCCCAGAGUUAUUUAAGAGUGAACUUGAGGACACAAAGAAACGGGUGCAGGAGAAAGGACAGCAAAAACACAAAAGGCCUGAAACUGAACACGUUAGUCGCUUGUGCAGAUUUUGUAAAAUGGAGCUGAAGCAGGGUCCAAACAGUCCUCACAUACACACAGGCUUUCCUGGUGUAGCAGGGAAAUAUGUUCAUUGCCCUGCUGAAGUAUUUUACAUUUACCAACCUCAGGACAUGCAGAAAGAUGACCUGGAAAGAGUUGAAUGAGUCUGAGAUGGGUGGCAGAAAAAAAUAAAAUAAAUGACAUUUCUUGAUCUUUUGCCCCUUAAUAAUAUUUAACUCAUGUAUAUACUGUAUAUUUUGAUUUGUUUAUUGUUCAGUGUGAGACUAAUAUGUAUAUUUUGUCAGAAUUCUAUUUUUCUUUAUACUUUAUUAUUUUGGAUCAGUAUUUACUAAUCUUAAAAAGUGCUUAAAGCA